rnacentral:rRNA from 1 species
ACGCUCGACACCUACGGGGGGCAGCAGUGGGGAAUAUUGGGCAAUGGGCGAAAGCCUGACCCAGCAACGCCGCGUGAGGGAAGAAGGUUUUCGGAUUGUAAACCUCUGUCCUCAGGGACGAAGGACGUGACGGUACCUGAGGAGGAAGCCCCGGCUAACUACGUGGCCAGCACGCCGGACGGUAAUCUGGAGGCGGGCUGGACAAGGC